AGAGUUUGAUCCUGGCUUAGGACGAACGCUGGCGGCGUGCUUAAUACAUGCAAGUCGAACGAGGUAUAGCAAUAUACCGAGUGGCGAACGGGUGAGUAACGCGUGAGCAACCUGCCCUACACAGGGGGACAACAGCUGGAAACGGCUGCUAAUACCGCAUAAGACCACAGCACCGCAUGGUGCAGGGGUAAAAGGCUACGGUCGGUGUAGGAUGGGCUCGCGUACCAUUAGCUAGUUGGUGAGAUAACAGCCCACCAAGGCAACGAUGGUUAGCCGACCUGAGAGGGUGAUCGGCCACAUUGGAACUGAGACACGGUCCAGACUCCUACGGGAGGCAGCAGUAGGGAAUAUUGGGCAAUGGAGGAAACUCUGACCCAAGCAACGCCGCGUGAAGGAUGAAGGUUUUCGGAUUGUAAACUUCUGUUAUGAAAGAAAAUAAAUGAUGGUAUUUCAUGAGUAAGCCCCGGCUAACUAUGUGCCAGCCGCAGC
rnacentral:rRNA from 1 species